UUAAUCACAUAAGCACGAUGUACUUGUAUAAAAGAAUUUAAUGUUUUUACUUGUUUCAAGAAUUCUUUUAAGGUCAUUUUCACAAUAUACUCAUUUUUAUGAGUGUGUAUAAUGAGUUCAUGUGAGUAACAUUCAACAUAAAUAAUAUCGUUCGCAUGUAAAGUUAUUGAUGUUUCAUUUGUUUUAUUUUCAGAUGAAUGUAAUUGAAAAGUAAUUUUUAUAUUUUCUCGCUGUUUAUUUUCAUAUACUGCACAAAACAUUUGAAAAUCUUCAUCAAAAUUACUUUUUCUAAUAAAACAAAUUGGACUAAUCUUUUGUGUUUCAAAAAUAAGAUUGUCUUGAUGUGAAAGAAAGACAAGAGUCAUACGUGGAUAAUAGUCUUUAAUACUAUUGGCAUAUUCUAUACCACUUUCUUUGCCUAACAACACAUCUAUAAAAAACAAAUCAUAAUCAGUUUGUAAUUCAUCAAUAUGUGGUGGCUUUUGAAAAAUAUCUAAUUCCACAUCUCCAUAUUGGUCUUUUAAUUUUGAUUCUAAUCUAUCAAUACAAGAUUGGUCAUCAUCAAUGAUUAAACAUUUCAUAUUACUCUCACUCCUACUAUCUUAAUGAUGCUGGUUUUUCUGGUUCAUAACAAUUUCUAUGUGAUGGUGAAGCUGCACAUACAAAAGCAACUAAAGUUAGAACCUUAACCAUAGAAUUUAAAAUUCUGUAUUUCAUAAUAUUCACCCCUUUAUCUUAUUAUUUAUAUCAUCAUAAUAAAACUUUACGUAUUAAAAAAUACCAUUUAACCAAAAGGACUAUUUUAUAUACUGGGUGGUUUAUUAAAUUCGGAUAUGCGUAUUGUAACAUUGCUGAACGAACUUGAAAAUACGCUUUUUCGUAAUUUUUGACAUGAAUAACCAAACGGACUUCAUAAUACGGGAUAGAGUAUCGCAAAAUGAUAAUAUCUAAUUGUGGUGGUGAUGCAAUGAUUGUAAAAAUUGACGAAAUCGGUAAAAUGAUGGCAAAACGUAUGAAAGAAAUGUCUUUAAAUGCGAAGAUUGUUUCCGAAAGAACUGGCAUUGCUCAAUCCACAUUGAGUGAAUUUUUUAGAGUAUUUUGUCUUGUGCAGGAGGAAGUUCAUAAGUCAUAGCAGGUAGAAUUUGACGAGCUCUACUCACACUAGGUGGAACUCUUUUUAUUGAAUCUAUUAUAGUUGAAUCUUUGUCAUGAGUUAAAAUUAUAUUACUAUGUCUUCCCAUUAUUUCAACAUAUAUAUUUUUUGUACUUUUAUCUUUUAAUUCGUCAUAAGAUUCAAUGCUUAUUUUUAUAAUUCUUUCAAAACCAACUUGAGUUAUAUCAGUUAUUAUACCUCCUUGAAGAUGUUUUCUAAGCAACAUACAAAACAUCGGUGCUUUUAGAGGAUUUUCUUUAUUAUAUUUAUUGGAUAUAUAAACUCUAGGAUUUGAUGAACUAGAACUAAGAACAACUUUGAAGUUUUCUCUGUUAUUUCUUACAUAAAGAAGUAUUUCAUCAUUUUCUGGUUGAUGAACCCUAUCUAUUUUACCGCCAACAAGCUUUGUAUUUAAUUCGUGAGCUAUUGAGCGGACAACUAAACCAUCUAAGCAGCUUGGCAUUGGCCGCUGGUCCCGCGUGUAGAGGAUAGGCAGGAGGCACAGAUCCGGAGGCGCCAGCCCCCGGGGAGCCGCCCUUGGAAUACUGCCCUCGCGCGACCGGCGUCCUAACCCGAGGCCGUCAACCGGCUCGGGGACCGUGCCAGGCGGGCAGUUUGACUGGGGCGGUCGCCUCCUAAAGGGUAACGGAGGCGCGCGAAGGUCCGCUCGGGACGGUCGGCAACCGUCCUUUUGAAUGCAAGAGUACAAGCGGGCUUGACUGCGAGGCCAACAAGCCGAGCAGGUGCGAAAGCAGGCUCUAGUGAUCCGGCGGCCCCGAGUGGGUGGGCCGUCGCUCAACGGAUAAAAGGUACUCCGGGGAUAACAGGCUGAUCUUGCCCAAGAGUCCACAUCGACGGCAAGGUUUGGCACCUCGAUGUCGGCUCAUCGCAUCCUGGGGCUGGAGCAGGUCCCAAGGGUACGGCUGUUCGCCGUUUAAAGCGGUACGCGAGCUGGGUUCAGAACGUCGUGAGACAGUUCGGUCCCUAUCCUCCGUGGGCGCAGGAGAAUCGAUGGAGGCUGCCCCCAGUACGAGAGGACCGGGGUGGACGCACCUCCGGUGAACCGGUUGUCGACCAACGGCACGGCCGGGUAGCCGCGUGCGGCGCGGAUAACCGCUGAAGGCAUCUAAGCGGGAAGCCGUUCCAGGGAUUAGUUCUCCUUCCGGUAAGGGCCCAGGUAGACUACCUGGUCGAUAGACGGCAGGUGCAAGGCUGGCGACAGCCUCAGCCGAGCCGCACUAAUCGCCCGAGCUCUUCCGGA
rnacentral:rRNA from 1 species